CCUACGGGAGGCAGCAGUGGGGAAUAUUGGACAAUGGGGGCAACCCUGAUCCAGCCAUGCCGCGUGUGUGAAGAAGGCCCUCGGGUUGUAAAGCACUUUCAGUGAGGAAGAACGCCUGGUGGUUAAUACCCAUCAGGAAAGACAUCACUCACAGAAGAAGCACCGGCUAACUCCGUGCCAGCAGCCGCGGUAAUACGGAGGGUGCGAGCGUUAAUCGGAAUUACUGGGCGUAAAGCGCGCGUAGGUGGCUUGAUAAGCCGGUUGUGAAAGCCCCGGGCUCAACCUGGGAACGGCAUCCGGAACUGUCAAGCUAGAGUGCAGGAGAGGAAGGUAGAAUUCCCGGUGUAGCGGUGAAAUGCGUAGAGAUCGGGAGGAAUACCAGUGGCGAAGGCGGCCUUCUGGACUGACACUGACACUGAGGUGCGAAAGCGUGGGUAGCAAACAGGAUUAGAUACCUGAGUAGUC
rnacentral:rRNA from 1 species